rnacentral:rRNA from 1 species
CAGCAGCAGCCACGGUAAUACGAAGGGGGCUAGCGUUGUUCGGAAUUACUGGGCGUAAAGCGCACGUAGGCGGAUACUUAAGUUAGGGGUGAAAUCCCAGGGCUCAACCCUGGAACUGCCUUUAAUACUGGGUAUCUUGAGUUCGAGAGAGGUGAGUGGAAUUCCGAGUGUAGAGGUGAAAUUCGUAGAUAUUCGGAGGAACACCAGUGGCGAAGGCGGCUCACUGGCUCGAUACUGACGCUGAGGUGCGAAAGCGUGGGGAGCAAACAGGAUUAGAUACCCCCGUAGUCCCUGUCUCUUAUAC